rnacentral:rRNA from 1 species
UACGGAAGGGGCAAGCGUUGUUCGGAAUCAUUGGGCGUAAAGGGCGCGUAGGUGGUUCUGUAUGUCUACCGUGAAAGCGUACGGCUCAACCGUAUUUUGUCGGUAGAAACUGCAGGACUUGAGGCUGGGAGGGGCUGGUGGAAUUCCCUGGGUAGCGGUGAAAUGCGUAGAGAUGGGGGAGAACACUCGUGGCGAAGGCGGCCAGCUAGACCAGUUCUGACACUGAGGCGCGAUAGCGUGGGGAGCAAACAGG